AAGGGAAGUCUUUCCUACUGAUGGUUUCCCAUUCAAUGCCAUGUUAUGAAGAGGUGCAUUUUCCGGAGAACUUGCUUUACUGUAUGGAAAUGGAUCAAAAAUAUGAACGUGAGCAAUUUUACGUCCGGGUGUCAUUUUAUAAAAAAGAAAAAAAAUAUGACGUACCUGCCUGAGAGUCUAGAGCCCUUCUUCUGUUUUCUAGUAAGACGAACAGAGCGCUUUUGUCUCGGUGUGUCUGUGAAGAGGCAAGGGAUUGAGGAAUACAAAGGUAUCUUAUUUAGCAUCUUUGGCCACUUUAAUGAAUCAAAAAUGAUCCCUCCAAUGUUUACUUCAGGCACACCCAGCUCUUGUCCUGUCUUGCCCGACCUCAGAGUAAGGAAAAUUCUUUUGCUUAUCUUUGGAAACAGCAGGCAGAGAAAAAAAAAAAA
rnacentral:lncRNA from 1 species